rnacentral:rRNA from 1 species
CAUUGCCGGGUAGCUAAAUGCGGAAGAGAUAAGUGCUGAAAGCAUCUAAGCACGAAACUUGCCAAGAGAUGAGUCAUCCCUGACUUUAAGUCAGUAAGGGUUGUUGUAGACUACGACGUAGAUAGGUCUGGUGUGUAAGUGUAGUGAUACAUUGAGCUAACAGAUACUAAUUGCCCGAGAGGCUUAACUAUACAACGCUCAAG